rnacentral:misc_RNA from 1 species
GACCUGUGAGAGAACCAAACAUGAUCAAGGGAGAAAGCGUUGUUAGACAGGAACUCAGUGGAUUGGACAAGCAAAUGUCACAGUUAGACUCUGAGCUCAAGCAAGCUUCUGUAACAAUUGUCCCCGGUUGGUGGAAAAAGGACAUUCAGUGUCUUAAAAAGCAGAAUGAAGUUUUUAUGAAAGCUACUUUUUUGAGCUUUAAUGUCAAGGAGUGGAUAAUUGAAAACGAUCUACUUGUACAUCGCUUAAAAAAGGAUUGCAGUAAAUCGACAAUUCAAGAAGUGUUGGAUAACUUUACAUCUCUGCUGGAAAGAGUGCAAGGUCUGCCACCAGAGUCUUCAUUUAUUUGCUAUGAACAAGCAAUUGCAUAUAAUUUGAGCCACUUGCUGUUACGUGGGCACAUAAAUAUACUUGUUGGUGGGAUUCACAAGAGUACUACCAUUCUUCACAGAAGCCUCUCUCGAGCUUUUGAGGCAUUCAAAAUAGAACGUCACCAAGAGACAGUGGUAGAAUCAGGAGAUCCAGCUGAGCGGGAUCUGUUCAGUCCAGAAAACAUUGAGCACACUCUGGAUAUCCUGCUGCCAUCAUUGUUUAAAGCAGUACAAGAUGAAAGUAUUGGAUGUGCUCCUCUUGUGUUAAGUAGCUGCCUGCUGGCAUUUCUGUGGUUACUUGAUGAAGAAGUUGACAAGGCUGUGGACCUUCUUCAGCUGAUGCAAAGGCAAUUAAAACAUUUGGAAGAAGUUAACUUGAGCUCCACAGAGCAGGUACCUUCCAGUAGAGACCCUGUGUGCCUUUUCAGCUUGGAGUACAUCCCAUCAAUCACCAACUGUGUGAUAACAUCAUCAACAAAAGACUUGACAGGCAAGAAAGCAUGUUGUUAAGAGAAGAGAUCAGUCAGCAGUAUACAGUAUGUUCGUCAUAUAUAGCAUAGCUACCACAAGUCUCCUAUAACCAUGAUUUUUUUUUUUGAACAGUGUCUAGAAGGUCUUAGCUUUUAUUAACUCUGGCUGAAAGAAUUCAGAAAUUCUUUGCAGAGUACAUGUAAGCUUCUUGUAUCACUGAUUAAUUGAAACUUCUGCCUUAAUCACCAUCAGGCUUAAUGUAUACCAUUAUUUCUUUCAUCAAGUUUAUCAUAGUGCUUAAAUCAAGACGAGAUGGGUACAGUGUGGGGUGUUGGAAAGUUUAAUGGUAAAAUUGAAAGGAAAGAUGUGCCUCCUGAAUGCCCCCCUCUCCACCCCACUGGUUUUCCCUGAUCUUUUUUCCGUUUUUGUGUGGUGGAUUUUUUCAUUUGUUUCCAUUGAUCCAUAUUUUUAAUUUAACAGUUGAUCGCUGAAAAGCAAGGAUGAUAAACAGUUUAUUAAAAUUAAAGCAACUCUUUCAGAUUCUUGUAUGAGCAUUGGCUUGAUUUCCAUUUGCUGUCCGGGAAACAAGCCCGUGCUCCUCUCUCUCAGGGAGGAUCAAAGGCCCAGCACAAGAGAGUUGCGGAAAUCGAGCUUGAUGUACAGAACUUGUUGUCAGUGGUGACUAGUCUGUUGGCAUUUGCUCACUUCACAAAGGAGAACUAUGAUAGAGUCUUGGAAACACUUGCU